rnacentral:rRNA from 1 species
GCGGUGAAAUGCUUAGAGAUUACAUGGAAUACCAAUUGCGAAGGCAGGUUGCUACCAAUGGAUUGACGCUGAUGGACGAAAGCGUGGGUAGCGAACAGGAUUAGAUACCCUGGUAGUCCACGCCGUAAACGAUGGAUACUAGCUGUUGGGCGCAAGUUCAGUGGCUAAGCGAAAGUGAUAAGUUCCCACCU